CAGGAAGGCUGGCUGAAGGCCACUCAACACAGAUCUCAAAGAUGGGGUAGGAGUCAGCCCAGCUGCCGACUGGCCACGCAAAGCAAGCACAGAGCUCUGACUAGACACUGGCUGUUCACUGUCUGAGUUGGAUUUAGCAUGCUCUUCAAUUGGAUACAGCCAAAGAAAUGAAAGAGAGCCAAGACUCCAAGACUGGCAUGGCAAGUCGAGGCAGCCUCCAUCUAAAUAGAUAAAGCGAGGUGCAUUCAGCCAAGGCAAGCUGGUCCAGGAGAGUGUUCAGCCCCAAGAGGCUGGAGCUACGAUGUCCUGUGAUCAAACCCCAUCCCAGAGUUUAUUUCUAGUCUAGUGACUUUGGGGAAAGUACCCACGCUCUUUGUUUUCUCAGAUUUUGUUUGGUUUUGUUUGUUUUGAGGUUGCUCUCAAUUCAGCAUCCCUCCUGCCUCAGUUUCCCAAGUACUGGGAUUCUAUCAUCCACCAUGCGGCUGGACAGGCUUCUUAAAGCUUCUGAGGCCCAACCCUUAUGAGCAAAAGAAGAAACACAAGCAGUGCUCACAUCACGGUGCAGCUGCAAGAGGUAACCCAGGAGCUGCAGGGGAGUCCUUAGCACAAUGGCUCACGUACAGCAAGUGGUCCAGAGGUGAUGGUACUACUCAGCUUGAGAGAUCUUGAACGUGAGGUUCAGGAGGACACAGAGGUGGAUUAUCAAGGGUUAGGAAAAGGUGGCCACCUGAGCAUUUGCAGUGACCAAAUGCUGCAGAAAUAUCUGUAUGGAGCCAUCCUGGGCAGAUCGACCCAAGACGAGAGUCAGACCAGCACUGCGGGAUCUAGGAAGGGAACUGUACUCCACACUGACACUGGGCCAGAGGGCUAUGCCUGAACAAAACACAACGCAGCAAAAUGACAGAAAAACAAAAAGUCUUCUUGUACCUCUUCCCUUUUUCUUUUAGAUACAAGUGCAAGCAUGGGAAAUAUGAUGUGGCUUCACUGUAAAUCAAGAGUAGAAAAAGAGAAGAAGAAAGAAAGAGAACCUUUGGCUUAAACAUUUUCAUCAGUGGUAAACGAAGCUCCCUCUUAGCUAUUUAGCUCUUGAAGAGAGGAAAAGACAUUACAAGUCUACAGGACAGACUUCACCUUUUGAUCUUUUAUGCUACUAAGACUUUCUCACCUCUUAAAGAGACAGGAAUAUAAACUUUAAACUUUGUUCUUUGGAAAAAAAAAAGCUGGAUGCACCUAGAUUUCCUGUAAUUGUGCCAUGCAUGUUCAUAAUAAUUUUUUUCACUCU
ensembl:lncRNA